GACGAACGCUGGCGGCGUGCUUAACACAUGCAAGUCGAACGGAAAGGCCCUGCUUUUGUGGGGUGCUCGAGUGGCGAACGGGUGUGUAACACGUGAGUAACCUGCCCCUGUCUUUGGGAUAACUUCAGGAAACUGGGGCUCAUACCGGAUAGGAGCUCCUGCUGCAUGGUGGGGGUUGGAAAGAUUCGGCGGUUGGGGCUGGUCUCGCGGCUUAUCAGCUUGAUGGUGUGGUAGUGGCUGACCAAGGCUUUGACGGGUAGGCGGCCUGGGAGGGGUGACGGCGACAUUGGGACUGAGGGACGGACCAGACUGCUACGGGAGGCAGUAGUGGGAAAUAUUGCAGAGUGAGGGGAAGCCUGAGGCAGCAACGCCGCGUGCGGGAUGCCGGGCUUCGGGGUGUAAACCGCUUUCGCCUGUGACGAAGCGUGAGUGACGGUAAUGGGUAAAAAAGCACCGGCUAACUACGUG
rnacentral:rRNA from 1 species